rnacentral:rRNA from 1 species
AGUGAACGCUGGCGGUAGGCCUAACACAUGCAAGUCGAACGGCAGCACAGUAAGAGCUUGCUCUUACGGGUGGCGAGUGGCGGACGGGUGAGGAAUACAUCGGAAUCUACUUUUUCGUGGGGGAUAACGUAGGGAAACUUACGCUAAUACCGCAUACGACCUACGGGUGAAAGCAGGGGAUCUUCGGACCUUGCGCGAUUGAAUGAGCCGAUGUCGGAUUAGCUAGUUGGCGGGGUAAAGGCCCACCAAGGCGGCGAUCCGUAGCUGGUCUGAGAGGAGGAUCAGCCACACUGGAACUGAGACACGGUCCAGACUCCUACGGGAGGCAGCAGUGGGGAAUAUUGGACAAUGGGCGCAAGCCUGAUCCAGCCAUACCGCGUGGGUGAAGAAGGCCUUCGGGUUGUAAAGCCCUUUUGUCGGGAAAGAAAAGCAGCAGGUUAAUACCCCGCUGUUCUGACGGUACCCAAAGAAUAAGCACCGGCUAACUUCGUG